rnacentral:rRNA from 1 species
AACGAACGCUGGCGGCAGGCCUAACACAUGCAAGUCGAGCGGGGGAGCAAUCCCUAGCGGCGGACGGGUGAGUAACGCGUGGGAACGUACCCUUUGCUUCGGAAUAGCCCCGGGAAACUGGGAGUAAUACCGGAUGUGCCCUACGGGGGAAAGAAUUUCGGCAAAGGAUCGGCCCGCGUUGGAUUAGGUAGUUGGUGGGGUAAUGGCCUACCAAGCCGACGAUCCAUAGCUGGUUUGAGAGGAUGAUCAGCCACACUGGGACUGAGACACGGCCCAGACUCCUACGGGAGGCAGCAGUGGGGAAUCUUAGACAAUGGGCGCAAGCCUGAUCUAGCCAUGCCGCGUGAGCGAUGAAGGCCUUAGGGUGUAAAGCUCUUUCGUGGGGGAAGAUAAUGACGGUACCCCAAGAAGAAGCCCCGGCUAACUCCGUGCCAGCAGCCGCGGUAAU